rnacentral:rRNA from 1 species
AUUUAAGACCCAGGGUGAGGAAAAAGUAAUUCUUCACCCUGGUCAGUCCGCCGUGUGACGGUCUGGUUCAACCCAGCACAAACCGAUGUAAAUUUAUAGCAAUUUUUUUAUCGUGCCGCUGUAAUUUUACGUUGACGCUGGAAGGUCGUGGGGAUUAGGAGCUAGCCCACCCCAUACAUCAAUAGAUGUGAGCGGUUUCGUCUGAACGCCGACUAGCGAGCGGUGAUUGGCGGCGUGCUGGACGGCGACGUGCUCGGCGGAUAAUUCUCAUCGGAUGAUUCCCUCGCUCCCCUGUCCAUCUUUCCCCCGUCCUCUCGUGCGACUCAGAGACCGAAAGCGGCAGCGGUGAUGGAGCGUACAACGAUUUUGCGGCGGCGACCAAUCCCAAAUCCAUCCCACUGCUCAGUCGGAUAAGGCGCUUGCGACAACCAACAUUCACCGAACCAGAUUUUCCAUUUCCUCGACAGGCGGCUCCGGCACAGGAAUGAAAGUGCGCCCUAUGUUCAGAUUCCAGAAGCUAUGCCACGGCCGCCUACAAUUCCACCCAGGAUAGCUAAUUUGCAUGCAAAUUUGAUUUCUGAUCUCUUCCCAAUCUGUCAUGUUCAUUCAAUUUUAUACGGUCAUAGUUUAGCUAGGCUCCAUAUAUCCGUAGUUGCAAAACAAUUCUUGAGAUUUCUUUGGUAAAAUUUCUGGAAUAUUACAUAAUAUUGCCUGUGCCAUCAUAACCAUUUGUUUAUCCCCUAGUAUAAAAAUACCAAAGUGAGGUCUCUAUACAUACAUACGAGAAGCACCUCUUUAAUUGUAAUUUGCUGGUAGAAACAUCGACCCGUUAUUACUGGACAUGAAGUAGCUUUUACAAAUGCUAUAGGUAAUUGCGUGGAAAUUGAUCUGAGAAAUUGUUGUCGAGAUAGGUAAUUACAUACUUGAGAACAGUUGCUCUUUAAGAUUUCUUGAGCUUUAUUCCGGGUGCUCAAGUGAAGCAAUUGCUUCUCAUUGAAGGGUCUGUUUCUUUCUUGGACGGGUCAGGUUGUUCCUAUUUUCUCUUUUAUUCAGAUUGGAUUUGUAAAUCAGAAAGUGUGAUGCUCAACGAGAUUCAGGUCGCGCUAAGACAUCAACAAUCAGUGCCGACAAGCCUCCACUAUCUAUUGCAGAAAUGAAGAACCGUGUUGAUUGCUUAUCUUGAAUAUGAUUUUGGGCAAAUAGGACCUGACUAGCUUCUAAAUCUGCUGAACUGUACUGAUCAUAGUGUGAAACUAAUUUUGCUUUUGCUCUUCUAAAGGCCAUCUCACGUUGAUUCAUAAUUUGCCAGAGGAGAUGGCACAGUUGGAAGUUAUGUUCAGUUUCUUGAUCGUUAUGCUAAUUCUCUGUCCAUUUGUAAGACAGCUGUUGAUGUUCAGAAUAAUAAGGGAAGUGCCUUGCACCUGAAUGUCAAAUGAAAAAGUAGAGCUGAAGGUUGUGAUCUAUAUCCUUGCCAUGGUUGCUCCUUGCUGAUACAGGCUUUUAUAUUUGAAUGCUCGCUACUCUCGCACAUAUAUAGAUUUUUCAUUAUAGAUGCAAAUUUGGAGCUGCUUAAAUUUGCUUGCCUGUCGUUUUACUUAGCAAUCUGCAAGAAAAAGAAGGACACCAUAGAUUGCUUGGCAAUAAAGAUCGACAUAAAUUAGCAAUUUGUGUGUACCCUUAGAAGUCUAUAUAUUUAUUAAAUUCUGAAUUACUUGUGCUCGCGUCCUUAAUGUGAUGGUUGCUUUGCCUUAUGAUCAAAUUCUCAAUUGGUAAUGGUGACUACAUUAGACUGUUUAAGCAACUAAGCAAGUCAAGUCCCCUCGUGACUACAAGUCAUGAGUGCCGCUGCACUAUUCUUGUAUGUUCUUCUAUUUUCAAUGGAAGCAUUCAAUCAUAUUUGUUUUUUUCUCUCACAUCAGUUUAUAUACCUCUCCAUGGAUCAUUCAGGUGUAAAAAUAUGGAUUUUCACUUUCGACCUGCAGUAUUUGACGGUCUCUGUGUGGAGGGUUUCAGAACUUUCUCUAGGCGCAGACCUGAAUACUAGCAGUACACGCUUGCAGCUAGCAAAAAAUGCAAGAUGCAGGGUCGUGUUUUCUUUUUCCAAUGCAUGGUAUCUGUUCAGGUGGAUGACUGCUAAUUUAUGUGGGAUAGGAAUGUCUUCAUAUUUGUGGUGGGUACAAGUAAUAUUAAAUUGAAAUUUUAGGCCCUCUUUUCAUUACAACCAAUGGCAAAAUUUAGGUUUUGGUGAGAAGAAAGGUGAACCUAAUGGCUACAGCACUAUCAAGAAGAAUGUUUUAAUCACUGGAGAAAUUGAGGAACAAAUGAAGUUGAUAGAAGAACGAGCAAUAAAUAUCUAUUAAACACAUAUAUAGAUUGCUUGGCUAUAAAGAUCGACAUAAAUUAGCAUUACUUGUUUUGGGCAUAGCUGAACGUACAAGCUUAAUACUACUGAAAUUCUAAAAUCGAUCAGAAGUAAUGUUUGGUUUUGUUCAUAGGUCGUCCCCUGUUUUGUCAUUCCAACUAACUGAAAGAGAUUGUAAUUGGGUCAACAAAUGGCAUACAUUUUUUUAAGCUGACAAACCUAUUUUGUUGAAAAUCUGAACUUUGUAGUUCAGUAGCUAUUGUGUAGGUGUAUUUCAAUCUUAUGGCUUUUUUUGCUUGAGAUUCGUAUACUGUAUGAUGUUGAGUUUGUUCACAUUAACCUAUGUUCCUAUUUUGCUGAGUUAUCCACUGAAAUAUGCUUAAUUUCUUCUUAAUUCCCCGUGUUUACUACCACAGUACCACUAUAUUUGAUAUGUUUUUAUUUAGUUCCAUUUAAUAUUGAUUCAGCUAUAUUAUGGGUGGCUUUGGCAUUUUCCCCUUACAAUCGUGUGUCUGACGAAUUAUGGGGAGUGCCUCUUUCACACUAAUGUUCAUUGCAAACUAAUCAUGAAAUUCAAUUACUUCAGGUCUUUACUUUCAACAUGAUCUACCUCCAAUUUUUUGCUCCUCUUGUUUCAUCACAAAGCAAUGAAGUUUAGUACUCCCUCUGUUCACUUUUAUAAGACGCUGUAGACAUUUCAGACAGUGCCUAAAACAGUUCAAUCUUAGCUGUCUGAAACGUCUUAUAAAAAUGAAUGGAGGGAGUAGCAUAACUUCUAGUAGUAUUAAGAAAAUCCAUAUUGAAGGGACUUAAGAUACUUCUAUGUUUUAUUUUGAUGACACUCAGGUGUCAGACUAGUUAGACUUAGACAUUGUCGUAAAUAGUUGCUAGACACAGACUAGUUCAAUACGACGACUCCUACCAUUGAAGCUGGCACAGUUUGAUAAAAGACAUGGUUAGUGAGCAUUUAAACAAUAGUUACAGAAUUUUCUUUUUGUCUUGUUUCUCACUAUACUUUUGAUUCACCUGCAGCUAGCAUGUUAUGGGUUCAUGUGAUUCUGAUGAAUUUGGUACAUCAAAAAUCCCACUGUGAUAUCUUUGAUUUUCACAUUAUAUUAUUUCUAGUUCAGGGAAGUGAAGCCUAUUAGUCAUAAAGUGUACAUGUGCUUAUGUGAUGUUGGUAUACUUUCAAGAAUUGAAAUAUUCUAUUUUUUCAGUAUCUGUUCAAGUGGAUGACGGUUAAUGUACAAGGGAUAGAGAGUCAUGUCUUCAUAUUUAUGGUCGGUAAGAGUAAUGUGCAAUUGAAAUUCAAACCUUCGUUACUAAUAACCAGUAGCAAGGUUUAGGUUUUGUGAGAAGAAAAGUGAACCAAAGGAGAUAGUACUAUUAAUAGGAUACUGUGUUUCUUCCAGCCCAUGGAUAAGAAUGUUUCAGUCGUUGCAGAGAUAGCUGAACAGAUGAAGUUGGCGUAAAAUCUAUGGUCACCUACUGGUUCAAGAUCAAGUUCGACAGUAGUCAGUUUGCAAGUUCGAUAGCAUUCAAUUUUGUAAUAGUGAUUUCUGAAAAAUAAUAAUCAUGCUGCUGGUUACUUAGAGCUCAGUGGCAUUCAGUUACGUCCAACCGAAUUUUAUUUGUAAUCUUAAGAUGGCUUUUGUUACGUAAGUAUUUCUUGGAACCACUACACGGAAUCUAGUAUUUACUAGACCGCUUUGUUAUUCCAUGGUUACCAAAAAUUCCUUGUGUACAAAAUCAACCAGUGACCUAUGUUUCUUACGGUUACUAAAAAU